AAGCGGUGGAUGAUGUGGAUUAAUUCGAUGCAACGCGAAAACCUUACCUACCCUUGACAUGUCCGGAAUCCUGCAGAGAUGCGGGAGUGCCCGAAAGGGAAUCGGAACACAGGUGCUGCAUGGCUGUCGUCAGCUCGUGUCGUGGGAUGUUGGGUUAAGUCCCGCAACGAGCGCAACCCUUAUCAUUAGUUGCUACGCAAGGGCACUCUAAUGAGACUGCCGGUGACAAACCGGAGGAAGGUGGGGAUGACGUCAAGUCCUCAUGGCCCUUAUGGGUAGGGCUUCACACGUCAUACAAUGGUCGGUACAGAGGGUUGCCAAGCCGCGAGGGGGAGCUAACCCCACAAAGCCGAUCGUAGUCCGGAUCGCAGUCUGCAACUCGACUGCGUGAAGUCGGAAUCGCUAGUAAUCGUGGAUCAGCAUGUCACGGUGAAUACGUUCCCGGGUCUU
rnacentral:rRNA from 1 species